UAAUACGUAGGUGGCAAGCGUUGUCCGGAUUUAUUGGGCGUAAAGCGCGCGCAGGCGGCUAUGUAAGUCUGGUGUUAAAGCCCGGAGCUCAACUCCGGUUCGCAUCGGAAACUGUGUAGCUUGAGUGCAGAAGAGGAAAGCGGUAUUCCACGUGUAGCGGUGAAAUGCGUAGAGAUGUGGAGGAACACCAGUGGCGAAGGCGGCUUUCUGGUCUGUAACUGACGCUGAGGCGCGAAAGCGUGGGGAGCAAACAGGAUUAGAUACCCUGGUAGUCCACGCCGUAAACGAUGAGUGCUAGGUGUUGGGGGUUUCAAUACCCUCAGUGCCGCAGCUAACGCAAUAAGCACUCCGCCUGGGGAGUACGCUCGCAAGAGUGAAACUCAAAUGAAUUGACGG
rnacentral:rRNA from 1 species